UACGUUCCGGCUUUUACACCCCCCCGGGAUUUGUUUUUAUGGCAUCGUUUUUGAAAUACUAGUUCUAGCGACCCCGACUUUCAAGGAAGCCGAGGUUAACCCCCCGAUAGAGUUUUGAUCAUGGCUCAGAUUGAACGCUGGCGGCAGGCCUAACACAUGCAAGUCGAGCGGUAACAUUUCUAGCUUGCUAGAAGAUGACGAGCGGCGGACGGGUGAGUAAUGCUUGGGAACAUGCCUUUAGGUGGGGGACAACAGUUGGAAACGACUGCUAAUACCGCAUAAUGUCUACGGACCAAAGGGGGCUUCGGCUCUCGCCUUUAGAUUGGCCCAAGUGGGAUUAGCUAGUUGGUGAGGUAACGGCUCACCAAGGCGACGAUCCCUAGCUGGUUUGAGAGGAUGAUCAGCCACACUGGAACUGAGACACGGUCCAGACUCCUACGGGAGGCAGCAGUGGGGAAUAUUGCACAAUGGGCGCAAGCCUGAUGCAGCCAUGCCGCGUGUGUGAAGAAGGCCUUCGGGUUGUAAAGCACUUUCAGUAAGGAGGAAAGGUUGGUGGUUAAUACCCAUCAGCUGUGACGUUACUUACAGAAGAAGCACCGGCUAACUCCGUGCCAGCAGCCGCGGUAAUACGGAGGGUGCGAGCGUUAAUCGGAAUUACUGGGCGUAAAGCGUACGCAGGCGGUUGAUUAAGCGAGAUGUGAAAGCCCCGGGCUCAACCUGGGAACUGCAUUUCGAACUGGUCAACUAGAGUGUGAUAGAGGGUGGUAGAAUUUCAGGUGUAGCGGUGAAAUGCGUAGAGAUCUGAAGGAAUACCGAUGGCGAAGGCAGCCACCUGGGUCAACACUGACGCUCAUGUACGAAAGCGUGGGGAGCAAACAGGAUUAGAUACCCUGGUAGUCCACGCCGUAAACGAUGUCUACUAGAAGCUGGGGUCCUCGGACAACUUUUUCAAAGCUAACGCAUUAAGUAGACCGCCUGGGGAGUACGGCCGCAAGGUUAAAACUCAAAUGAAUUGACGGGGGCCCGCACAAGCGGUGGAGCAUGUGGUUUAAUUCGAUGCAACGCGAAGAACCUUACCUACACUUGACAUCCAGAGAAAUCGCUAGAGAUAGC
rnacentral:rRNA from 1 species